rnacentral:rRNA from 1 species
AUUAGAUACCCUGGGUAGUCCACGCAGUAAACGAUGAAUACUAGCUGUUCGGGGCAAAUGAGCCUUGAGUGGCACAGCGAAAGCGUUAAGUAUUCCACCUGGGGAGUACGCCGGCAACGGUGAAACUCAAAGGAAUUGACGGGGGCCCGCACAAGCGGAGGAACAUGUGGUUUAAUUCGAUGAUACGCGAGGAACCUUACCCGGGCUCAAACGCAGCAGGAAUACUUUUGAAAGGAGGUAGCUCUACGGAGCCUGCUGCGAGGUGCUGCAUGGUUGUCGUCAGCUCGUGCCGUGAGGUGUCGGCUUAAGUGCCAUAACGAGCGCAAUCCCUAUCGACAGUUGCUAACGAGUCAGGUCGAGGACUCUGUCGAGACUGCCGGCGCAAGCUGUGAGGAAGGCGGGGAUGACGUCAAAUCAGCACGGCCCUUACGUCCGGGGCGACACACGUGUUACAAUGGCGACUACAGCGGGAAGCCACUUGGCGACAAGGAGCGGAACCCGAAAAGUCGUCUCAGUUCGGAUUGGAGUCUGCAACUCGACUCCAUGAAGCUGGAUUCGCUAGUAAUCGCGCAUCAGCCAUGGCGCGGUGAAUACGUUCCCGGGCCUUGUACACACCGCCCGUCAAGCCAUGGAAGCCGGGGGUGCCUGAAGUGCGUGACCGUAAGGAGCGCCCUAAGGUAAAACCGGUGACUGGGGCUAAGUCGUAACAAGGUACC